rnacentral:rRNA from 1 species
UUGAUCCUGGCUCAGGAUGAACGCUAGCGGCAGGCUUACACAUGCAUGUCGAGGGGUAACGAUCCCGCUUCGGUGGGAGGCGACGACCGGCAAAUGGGUGAGUAAUACAUAUGCAACUUGCCCGUAGCUGGAGGAUAGCUUCCGGAAACGGAAAUUAAUACUCCAUAAUAUCCUAAUAUCGCAUGUUAUAAGGAUUAAAGUUUCGACGGCUACGGAUGGGCAUAUGUCCCAUUAGCUUGUUGGUGAGGUAACGGCUCACCAAGGCUACGAUGGGUAGGGGGCCUGAGAGGGUGAUCCCCCACACUGGUACUGAGACACGGACCAGACUCCUACGGGAGGCAGCAGUGAGGAACAUUGGGCAAUAGGCGCAAGCCUGACCCAGCCAUGCCGCGUGCAGGAUGACGGCCCUAUGGGUUGUAAACUGCUUUUGUAUGGGAAAAAACUCCCGCACGUGUGCGGGACUGAUUGUACCAUACGAAUAAGCAUCGGCUAACUCCGCGCCAGCAGCCGCGGUAAUACGGAGGAUGCAAGCGUUAUCCGGAUUCAUUGGGUUUAAAGGGUGCGCAGGCGGAUUAGUAAGUCAGUGGUGAAAGCUCCCGGCUCAACCGGGAAAAUGCCAUUGAUACUGUUAAUCUUGAGUACAGUUGAGGUAGGCGGAAUGUAUCAUGUAGCGGUGAAAUGCAUAGAUAUGAUACAGAACACCGAUAGCGAAGGCAGCUUACCAAACUGUAACUGACGCUCAUGCACGAAAGCGUGGGGAGCAAACAGGAUUAGAUACCCUGGUAGUCCACGCUGUAAACUAUGAUCACUCGCUGUUGGGCGAUACACUGUCAGCGGCUUAGCGAAAGUGUUAAGUGAUCCACCUGGGGAGUACGAUCGCAAGGUUGAAACUCAAAGGAAUUGACGGGGGCCCGCACAAGCGGAGGAGCAUGUGGUUUAAUUCGAUGAUACGCGAGGAACCUUACCUGGGCUUAAAUGCAGAACGACCUCCCGAGAAAUCGGGACCUCCUUCGGGACGGACUGCAAGGUGCUGCAUGGUUGUCGUCAGCUCGUGCCGUGAGGUGUCGGGUUAAGUCCCAUAACGAGCGCAACCCUUAUCCUUAGUUGCCAACAGGUAAUGCUGGGAACUCUAAGGAAACUGCCUACGCAAGUAGUGAGGAAGGUGGGGAUGACGUCAAAUCAGCACGGCCCUUAUGUCCAGGGCUACACACGUGCUACAAUGGUCGGUACAGAGGGCAGCUACCUGGCAACAGGAUGCUAAUCUCGAAAGCCGGUCUCAGUUCGGAUUGGAGUCUGCAACUCGACUCCAUGAAGUUGGAUUCGCUAGUAAUCGCGCAUCACCCAUGGCGCGGUGAUACGUUCCCGGGCAUUGUACACACCGCCCGUCAAGCCAUGGAAGCUGGGAGUACAUGAAGUC